rnacentral:lncRNA from 1 species
UAAUAAUUACAUUAGAUGUAUGUUUCAUUAUAAUACGUUAUUCUGAUUGGCUAACUAGAAAUCUCGUGAUAUUCCUUAAUCAAUUGCAUUACACAAUGCAACUUUUCAUUCAUGAUGACACGAGGUCCCACAAUAAAGUGCACAGGUAAAUGAAAUAAAAACUUGAUAAAAGGCGUGUUUUCAUGAUCCUAUAGGUAAAAAUGUAAUUAUAAGUAUUGAAUGCUUUUUUUGUAACUUUAUAGGGUUGUAAAAG